rnacentral:lncRNA from 1 species
AAAACCCAAUGNNCUCUCCUUUCUUCCAAAGAAUCUUGGCGUAAUCAGUACUGCUGUGACACAGGAAUGGUAUCUCAUUUCUCUCCAUUUCCUGUUUUCUAUAAAUAAUUCGAUUCAGAACAUACAGAACCACUCUCUCCCCAAGAGUUCUCACCUGGAAAGAGAGUCAGACACCAGGCACAACAGUUAUGAUAUAUAUCCAUUCAGAAUGCGACCUACCUUGCUCCCUGCUUCCACACCUCAGACUAGUAUUCAAAGCACUUUGAAUACACUCAAAAUGAUUUCUUAAACCCUUCAUCACACAGAUGAGACCCAUCAUUCAUAAGAGUAAUAAUCCAUUUCUACAAACACAUAUUAUGUGAAAUACUGUCU